rnacentral:rRNA from 1 species
UACAGAGGGUGCAAACGUUGCUCGGAAUUACUGGGCGUAAAGCGCGUGUAGGCGGACCAUUAAGUCGGGUGUGAAAUCCCUGGGCUCAACCCAGGAACUGCACCUGAAACUGUUGGUCUUGAGUAGUGGAGAGGAAAGCAGAAUUCCUGGUGUAGAGGUGAAAUUCGUAGAUAUCAGGAGGAACACCGGUGGCGAAGGCGGCUUUCUGGACACUUACUGACGCUGAGACGCGAAAGCGUGGGGAGCAAACAGG